UUCACCAUGUAGUCAGAAGAAGCAAUGAAUUCCACUGUAGAAUUUUGGACCUCUGGACGUUUGUGCGGCUCUCCGGAAGGUCGUUUCAGAGGAUUCUACAUCAAUUCUUCAGGAACUACAAAACAAAGUUUCCAAAAUAAUUGCAAAAAGACCUAUUCCUUCAGGAAAUGAACGCUAUGUCUGACUGAAAACCGGGAGAUUU